GGCGGACGGGUGAGUAACGCGUAGGAAUCUGCCCAAUAGUGGGGGACAACCCGGAGAAAUCCGGGCUAACACUGCAUACGCCCUACGGGGGAAAGGAGGGGAUCUCUUCGGAGACCUUUCGCUAUUGGAUGAGCCUGCGUCGGAUUAGCUUGUUGGUAGGGUAACGGCCUACCAAGGCGACGAUCCGUAGCUGGUCUGAGAGGACGAUCAGCCACACUGGGACUGAGACACGGCCCAG
rnacentral:rRNA from 1 species